rnacentral:lncRNA from 1 species
UGAUUUGGAGAUGGCCCGUCUUGUCGUCCUUGACCUCGACGCCCACGCCGAUGCCCUCGAGGCCGGAGUAGUCGAGGUUGAUCGUGGAUGCGGCGGUUCUCUUGUCACCGUCCUCUUUGAUGAGGGUCCUGAGCUUGACGGUGAUGUCGUCCUUGUGGUAGCCGAUCCUGACGUUGGCGUUCUUGCUGACGAGGUCGUAGUCGACGGAACCGGUGAGGUCGGCGUUGACGUCGGAGAGGGGAAUGUCGGCGGCGAUGCGGAUAGCGUUCUUCUCGGCGCGCGCAUCCUCGUCGUUGAGGGUCUUGUGGCCAGCCUGGAUGGCGGUGAUGGUGACGUCGCCAACCUUGUCGACGUUGGACUUGAUGCGGACGCCGGAGGGGGCGGCAUU